GCAAAACACCGUCAUUUGCGUGUUCAACGGAGAUUCCAAACCUCGGACACCUGCUCCACUGACCACUGGUCAGCCGCGAAAAAUGUUUUCCUGGCAUUGACCGAUCCGUCAGUACCCUCAGCCUGAAGAUGCAUGGUGCGCAGACUCCAGCUGCGAGGUUCUCGUGCCGAAAGCAGCGCAGGAAGGAUGGAAGAGGGUGUCACGGUGGUCAGCUGCUCCUUCACCGCCACCGCCACCCCACUCCACCAACGAUCUCGUUUGCAGCCCAGCAAUCGUUGCUUAUUAUUUGGUCAAAGGUUCGUGAACCUCCAUUAGUCUGCAUGGAAAAAAGAGUGAGGGUUCAAACGUCAAGAGAUAUAAAAGUGUGUGAUGAGCGCAAUGAUUAUAUCGAUAAAUUAACCAAUAAAUAAUUAAAUCGAUUUAUGC